rnacentral:rRNA from 1 species
ACCAGACUCCUACGGGAGGCAGCAGUGGGGAAUAUUGCACAAUGGGGGAAACCCUGAUGCAGCGACGCCGCGUGAGUGAAGAAGUCUUUCGGUAUGUAAAGCUCUAUCAGCAGGGAAGAAAAUGACGGUACCUGACUAAGAAGCCCCGGCUAACUACGUGCCAGCAGCCGCGGUAAUACGUGGGGGGCAAGCGUUAUCCGGAUUUACUGGGUGUAAAGGGAGCGUAGACGGCAUGGCAAGUCUGAUGUGAAAACCCGGGGCUCAACCCCGGGACUGCAUUGGAAACUGUCAGGCUAGAGUGGCGGAGAGGCAAGUGGAAUUCCUAGGGUAGCGGUGAAAUGCGUAGAUAUUAGGAGGAACACCAGUGGCGAAGGCGGCCUGCUGGACGAUGACUGACGCUGAGGCUCGAAAGCGUGGGGAGCAAACAGGAUUAGAUACCCGUGUA